rnacentral:rRNA from 1 species
UACGGAGGGUGCGAGCGUUAUCCGGAAUUACUGGGUUUAAAGGGUGCGUAGGCGGCUAUGUAAGUCAGAUGGUGAAAGUUUGCGGCUAAACCGUAAAAUUGCUUUUGAUACUGCAUGGCUAGAAUCAGGAUGAGGUCAGCGGAAUGUGGCAUGUAGCGGUGAAAUGCAUAGAUAUGCCAUAGAACACCAAUUGCGAAGGCAGCUGGCUAGACCUGUAUUGACGCUGAGGCACGAAAGCGUGGGGAUCGAACAGG